rfam:Mesocricetus auratus contig020498, whole genome shotgun sequence.
CCACACAGCAUUGUACUCAGAAUCUGUCCCCAGACAUUGCACCUGGCGCUGUUAGGUUGUGUGGUGAUUAAAGGUUUUU